rnacentral:rRNA from 1 species
UACAGAGGUCCCAAGCGUUGUUCGGAUUCAUUGGGCGUAAAGGGUGCGUAGGUGGCGCCGUAAGUCGGGUGUGAAAUUUCGGAGCUUAACUCCGAAACUGCAUUCGAUACUGCGGUGCUCGAGGACUGGAGAGGAGACUGGAAUUCAUGGUGUAGCAGUGAAAUGCGUAGAGAUCAUGAGGAAGACCAGUGGCGAAGGCGGGUCUCUGGGACAGUUCCUGACACUGAGGCACGAAGGCCAGGGGAGCAAACGGGG